GCCUGGUGGUUCCCAGAGUCAGCUCCUAAGUGCUGAACUGUGGGUUUAUUGUAAACAGGCACACAUUAAUUCUGCGAUUCUAUGCAUGGAAGCUGCCAUCAUAGCAGCCUUCCAUAGCCCGGUUGCAGAUACAAUG